GCUGGGUAUGGUGGCGCAUGCCUGUAAUCCCAGCUACUUGGAAGGCUGAGGCAGGAGAAUCGCUGGAACCCAGGAGGUAAAGGUUGCAGUGAGCUGAGAUCGCACCACUGCACUCCAUCCUGGGUGACAGAGCGAGACUCCGUCUCAA
rnacentral:SRP_RNA from 1 species